rnacentral:pre_miRNA from 1 species
AUAAUACUCCCUCCGUCCGAAAAUACUUGUCCGAGGAAUGGAUGUAUCUAGAUGUAUUUUACUUCUAAAUACAUCCAUCUGUAUCCAUUUCCACGACAAGUAUUUCCGGACGGAGGGAGUAAUAU